AUUGGCAAACACUGGUUUCAAUGUGAGUCGAUAUGGAAUAAUGGAAAGAACUCUGGUAUUGGGGGAGUCAGAGAAUCUGAGCUCUGGAGUGGACCUGUGAAUUUGGAUGUAUUGUGAAUCCCAGUGUCUUUCCUCAGACUCAUAGUUUCAACUACUGCUCAACAUGCCUUUGAAUUGAUAUCAAAAUAAUGGAGCUUCUUAUAACUGAUGGACUCAUUCUAUGAAAUGAAAUUAUGACAAUCUAGAACUUACUACUUCUUUCUACAUGUCAGCCAUCUUUCAAGAAUGUCAUGUACAAGCUCUGCCCAGAAAAAGUUCAACCAUUGUUUAUAUAUCAAGAGGAAUGGUUAGUGCAACAUUGAUGUAAACUGUCUGCCAAGAAGAGUGGACUGGAAUGCGCAUAGUUGAACAACGAUGACUUCAAUGUACUAGUCAGUGGGGGUGGUAGAUGCCAUUGAGUGAGUAUGUGUACUGUGUGGUUGUCACAUUCAAAAUGGUUGAGCGAGUAGAGCAAUGAAUCUGCAACCAAUUUUGCAGUAAGCUUGAAUAGUCCUCUGCAGAAACUAUUUGUAUGAUUCAGAAGGCCACAGCUAUAGGCAGCUGGUAAUUGGCAGCUUCAUUAUGACAUUGUACCUGCUCAUGCAUCGCAUUUUGUGCAGAGUUUUUGGCGAAAAAUCAGAUCACCCAGGUGACUCAGCCCUCCUACAGCCCAGAUUUGGUGCUCUGUGACUUCUGGCUUUUUCCAAAACUAGAAUCACCUUUGAAAGGGAAGAGAUUUCAAACCAUUGAUGAGAUUCAGGAAAAUAUGAUGGGGUAGCUAAUAGUGACUGGGAGAGCUAUGUGAGAUUCUAAGGUGCCUACUUUGAAGGGGACUGAGGUGUCAUUGUCCUAUGUACAAUUUUCUUCGAUAGAUGUCUCUAUUUUUCAUAGUACAUGGCUGGAUACUUUAUGGACAUACCUCAUAUAUGAAUUCAUUUAAUUCUGACAAAACCCAAUGAGAUAGUUGCUUUUGCUAUUCUCAUUGUAGAGGAAAGGUGUGAAGUCACAGAUGUGUGACUCUGACUCUUGACUGCUUUCUAGAUUUGUGACCCAGGACACUCUGACACUCAGUUCCUCAUGUGCAAAAUGCACAUCAUAAAGCCCACCUCACAACACUGCUGUAAAAAUUGAAUUAGAUGAUAUUGAACUAGGGCUCUACCAUUAUAGCUCAUUUAACCUAGAUAAUCUAUUUAAAGCCUCUAUCUCCAAAUACAGUCACUUCGGGGCUUAGGACUUUAGUAUGUGAAUUUGGGGGGACACAGUCCAGCCUGUAACAAUGGGGGCGAGUGGGGCCCUGGUGAGCUGGAGAGCAAGGCCCUGUUCUUCAGAAGAAGAGUGGCCACUACUCGGCCUCUAUCAGUCACUACCACAGGGAAGGAAGGCCUGGCACGGUCAGGGUGCAAUUUCCCAUUCACACUUGGAAUGCAAAUUUUUAAGGACAAUCUUCCAGUUUUAAAAACUUUCUGGGUGACAAAGGUGAAAGGAUGAAGAAAAAACAAAAACAAAGAACCCCCAACUCACAGACAACAGCAUGGUGAU